rnacentral:misc_RNA from 1 species
GAUGAAGAACGCAGUGAAAUGCGAUAAGUAAUGUGAAUUGCAGAAUUCAGUGAAUCAUCGAAUCUUUGAACGCACAUUGCGCCCCUUGGUAUUCCGGGGGGCAUGCCUGUUCGAGCGUCAUUAUAACCCCUCAAGCUCAGCUUGGUGUUGGGGCCUGCCAACUGGCAGCCCUUAAAAUCAGUGGCGGCGCCAUCUGGCUCUAAGCGUAGUAAUUUCUCUCGCUAUAGGGUCCCGGUGGAUGCUUGCCAACAACCCCCAAUUUUCUAUGGUUGACCUCGGAUCAGGUAGGGAUACCCGCUGAACUUAAGCAUAUCAAUAAGCGGAGGA